ACGGGAGGCAGCAGUGGGGAAUAUUGGACAAUGGGGGAAACCCUGAUCCAGCCAUGCCGCGUGUGUGAAGAAGGCCUUCGGGUUGUAAAGCACUUUCAGUGAGGAGGAAAACCUUAUGGCUAAUACCCAUGAGGCUUGACGUUACUCACAGAAGAAGCACCGGCAAACUCCGUGCCAGCAGCCGCGGUAAU
rnacentral:rRNA from 1 species